rnacentral:rRNA from 1 species
AAUCAGGGGGAUCCCGAAGAAAUUCGGAUUAACACCGCAUAAAAUCACAGAAUAGCAUUAUUCAAUGAUCAUAUUUAUAGGAUUAAGAUGGGCAUGCGUGUCAUUAGCUAGUUGGCGGGGUAAACGGGCCACCAAGGCGACGAUGACUAGGGGGAUCUGAGAGGGAUGACCCCCCCACACUGGUACAGACACGGACCCAGACUCCUACGGGGAGGGCAGCCAGUAAAGGAAAUAUUGGUCCAAUGAGGGCAAACUCUGAACCCAGCCCAUGCCGCGUGCAGGAAAGACUGCCCUAUGGGGUUAAAACUGCUUUUAUUCUGGGAAAUAAACCUAUUUACGUGUAGAUAGCUGAAAUGUACCGAAGAAAUAAGGAUUCGGCUAACUCCGUGCCCAGCCAGCCGCGGUAAUACGGAGGAUCAAGCGUUUUCCGGAUUUAUUGGGUUUAAAAGGGUGCGUAGGCGGCCCUGUUAAGUCAGGUAAAAGACGGUAGCUCAACUAUCGCAGUGCCUUUGAUACUGAUGGGCUUGAAUGGACGAGGUAGGCGGAAUGAGACAAGUAGCGGUGAAAUGCAUAGAUAUGUCUCAGAACACCGUGCGAAGGCAGCUUACUAUGGUUUUAUUGACGCUGAGGCACGAAAGCGUGGGGAUCAA